AUUGAACGCUGGCGGCAGGCCUAACACAUGCAAGUCGAGCGGAGUUUUCGGACCUAGCGGCGGACGGGUGAGUAAUGCGUAGGAAGCUGCCCGAUAGAGGGGGAUACCAGUUGGAAACGACUGUUAAUACCGCAUAAUGUCUACGGACCAAAGUGUGGGACCUUCGGGCCACAUGCUAUCGGAUGCGCCUACGUGGGGUUAGCUAGUUGGUGAGGUAAUGGCUAACCAAGGCGACGAUCUCUAGCUGGUUUGAGAGGAUGAUCAGCCACACUGGGACUGAGACACAGCCCAGACUCCUACGGGAGGCAGCAGUGGGGAAUUUUGGACAAUGGGCGCAAGCCUGAUCCAGCCAUGCCGCGUGCAGGAUGAAGGCCUUCGGGUUGUAAACUGCUUUUGUACGGAACGAAAAGACUCUGGUUAAUACCUGGGGUCCAUGACGGUACCGUAAGAAUAAGCACCGGCUAACUACGUGCCAGCCGCCGCCGUAAUAC
rnacentral:rRNA from 1 species